UGAGAAAUAAAUCACAGACUUUAAAUGGUGUUUAGGAGGCUUCUUUGAAGCACCAGGAAUGUAAAGAGAUCUGCUUUCCCCUUGCCAACAUGUCCCUAGAUGCUAACUAAGUACUUGCACACUUGGAGUGUCAAGAUGGGAAUUCUCUGGAUAAUAGAUUUAAAGUUGAAUGAGACUUCUUGGACCAGCAAAUUCAUUUUAAAGAAGAAACUGAAGCUCAGGAAUAUGUGACUUCCCUCAGGUCACACAUCACAGUGAAGAAAAUUUGUUUUUACAAAGAUGUCAACAUACAACUUCCUCAUUAUCUGCUUCUCAAGACUGAAAGACCUACUCCUCUACCAGCCAGAGUUGUCUUCUCCUCAAGAUUCCAAUCUCCUGGGGCCCAUUCCUCUGUCGAAGUGAUCAGUUUCACACACUCUUCAGCCCAGCACUUUUUCUUUAGUGCCAGCUUCUGUCACACAGGAUAACCCUGAGUUUCAAAACUAAUGGUGUAUAUAAAUAAUGGGAUGCUAAACAGACAACAUAAGAGACUUAUUGCAGAACCAGAGAUCAUCCGGUUCUAUUUAUAUAACUGGCAUCAACAAAAAAGGUAAGGGGAUGAAUUUCAACUUUGAUGCUUUCAAUAUAUCCAUGAUCUUACUAAUGGUUCUUCCACUAACAAUAUAGGUCACAGUCCCUUAUGAAUGAGUAUCUUGGAAAUUUUCUACAGAAGCUCAAAUAGUCCAUAUGAUAUAUGGAAGACAUACA
ensembl:lncRNA